GACGAACGCUGGCGGCGUGCCUAAUACAUGCAAGUCGAACGCAGUGGGGACGGGUGAGUAACACGUGGGUAACCUCCCAUCAGAGGGGAUAACACUUGGAAACAGGUGCUAAACCGAUACUGAUGGAUGGACCCGCGGUGCAUUAGCCAGUUGAGGAGGUAACGGCUCACCAAUGCCACGAUGCAUAGCGCGCGUGAGAGUCUGAGCAGCCACACGGGGACUGAGACACGGCGCAGACUCCUACGGGAGGCCGCAGUGUGAAGUAUUGCACAAUGGGCGCAAGCCUGAUGCAGCCAUGCCUCGUGUAUGAAGGAGGCCUUCGGGUUGUAAAGUACGUUCAGUCGGGAGGCGUUACCGACAUAAGAAGCACCGGCUGACUCCGUGCCAGCAGCCGCGGUAAUAC
rnacentral:rRNA from 1 species